GACGAACGCUGGCGGCGUGCUUAACACAUGCAAGUCGAACGCUGAAGCUUGGUGCUUGCACUGGGUGGAUGAGUGGCGAACGGGUGAGUAAUACGUGAGUAACCUGCCCUUGACUCUGGGAUAAGCCUGGGAAACUGGGUCUAAUACUGGAUAUGACAUGCCACUGCAUGGUGGUGUGUGGAAAGGGUUUUACUGGUUUUGGAUGGGCUCACGGCCUAUCAGCUUGUUGGUGGGGUAAUGGCCUACCAAGGCGACGACGGGUAGCCGGCCUGAGAGGGUGACCGGCCACACUGGGACUGAGACACGGCCCAGACUCCUACGGGAGGCAGCAGUGGGGAAUAUUGCACAAUGGGCGGAAGCCUGAUGCAGCGACGCCGCGUGAGGGAUGACGGCCUUCGGGGUGUAAACCUCUUUCAGCACGGAAGAAGCGAGAGUGACGGUACGUGCAGAAGAAGCGCCGGCUAACUACGUG
rnacentral:rRNA from 1 species